GACUGGCUUGUGAGUGUGGGUCAAGAAGGGUUUUUUUUUGUUGCCCCAAAACUGAUACACUUGUCUAGAGCUACCUCCUUAUCAGCAUUCUCACGUCUUUCACUUUAGCUCUGUAGGAGCAUUUUAUGGCUUUAAAGGAAAAAUUAAUUGCUGUGAAAAUAACAUCUGCAAAUGUAUUAUGAACUAAAUUUAAGUUUGAAAUUUCCCAUUAAUAUUUUUUGUUGUUUAUACUAUUUGCUUAAUUGAAUAUCAGUUUCUAAAGUGCCCACAUGGGAUGGCUUAUGUGGCCCUAUAUGGUCUUUUUGUGGGAAAGACCACUGCAAGUUUGCCACAAAAGGCCAUGCAUGGCCCCAAAGAGCAAAAUGACAACUACAGCUACUUAAUAAACAUCCUAAAGAACAGCUGAAUUAUCACUAGAUAAUUUAAUGUACACUGAUCAGGCAUAACACUACAGCAGGUGAGCUGAAUAACUCAUGGCACUUGUUAGUGGGCGGGAUGUAGUGGGGAGCAUGUGAACUUUUUGUCAAAGUUGAUGUUGGAAGAACAAAAAUGGGUAAGUGUAAGGAUUUGAAUUUAAUUUGGGCUAAACUGUGAUGGCUACACUGGGUCAGAGCAGCUCCAAAACUGCGCCACUUGUGGGCAUCUAUCAAAAGAAGGAACCGUGGUGAACCAGCAACAGGGUCAUUGGUGGCUAAGGGUCAUUGAUUCCAUGUGGGAAGUGAAAGCUGGUCCUUAUAUUCUGAUUCAACACUCAAGCCAAUGCAUGUCAGACUGCAUAAAAGUUGAUGCUGGUUCUGAUAGAAAGCUGUCUGACUACAGGGAAAUCCAUGUAGAGGCCUACAAACUAAGCAUUGUUGCAGACUAUGUACACCCAUUAAUGGAAAUGGUAUUCCCUGAUGGCUGUUGUGUCUUAGAGCAGGAUAAUGCACCCUGCCCCAAAGCAGGGGUGGCUUAAGGAGCUCAACAAGAAGGUUGAGGUUUUGGCUUGGUUUCCAGAUUCCCCAAAUCUGAAUCGGAGUAUCUGUGGGAUGUACUAGAUAAACAAGUCUGAUCCAUGGAGGCCUCAGUUCACAACUUAUAGGAUUGGUUGCUACGACCUUGGUGCAGAUACCACAGCACACCUUCAGGGGUCUAGUAGAUUUGAUGCAUUGACAGGUCAGGGCUGUAUUGGCAGCAAACGGACACCAACAUAAUAUUGGGCAGGUGGUCAUGUUUUUUUUUCUAAUUCUUUUAAAUUUGUCUUCAUCUUUACUGCCAUUUUAAAUCAAAAAGAAGCUACAAACUCGGGAAAGCACUUGUUUCUGGAAUCAGUUUGUUUAACUUUUAGUGUGCAACUUUAACCCUAAAGCUUAAAAUCAACCAGCUUCAACUAGCCAGCCAGUCAGGAGGCUCCAGUGCUAUUGACCUCUUGACUGUUUGGGAGGUUCCUUGGAAAUAAAGCUGGUGGAGCUGUGAUUAAAUUUACACUGCGUUGACAACAUGAGGCACGUCAUCUUGCUCUUUCUGUCUGUCCAUUUUUACCUUGGGAACUUGGUAAGCAUCGAUGGAUCACAAGCUCAUAACAUUCAGCGUCGCCAAACGAGCCCAAAGCUUCAAGACCCUGUAGAGAUCGUCACAGAUAUGACAAUAUCUGCAAGUUGGAACCUCACUGUGGGCAAUACUGCAGUGAUAAACUGCACCGUGCACAAACCAGGAAACGGCCACAAUGUGACUUUGCAGCUGAUGCGGACAAAACUGGGCCUAGAGGAAAAGUUUAAGGUGCUGGUGAGCCAACCAGCUUCAAGAGGGAUCUCAUAUGUACUGGGUCCCAUUACUCAUGAGCACCUGGGAGAGUCUGUAGCUGUGUGGAAGGUGGCAGCGCGCCUAAUGCUGACGUUACGGAUCGGCACCAUUUAAUCUGGGUUACUGACUCGUCUCCAGCAGUCACAAUAAACUUGCUCAGCAUCAACAGGGUCAACUUCUUCGGUGAAAAGACUAUCACUGUUGGGUGCCAGCUGCCUAACAAAGUCAGUGGAAGAUGAUGAGCUUUGACAUGGAUACAGGGACUAUCAGAGUGUGCGGAUCCACAGACUUCAGGCUGCCUCCUGUCUUGCACCAUUAAAACAGAAAUGACUCAUUAGAUUAAAUUAAAAGAUAAUAAGAUGUGCUGGUGUGAAUCUGCAUCAGGGAACAGGAGCAAUAUCCUUGAUGCCUCCCGUGCUGUGAGUGAGCGUCGAAAAGAUUAUAAACUACUGAGAACUUCGAUGAAUGCCCAGUCAGCAUGGUACCUCCAUGUGGGUGACACCACGGAGAUUACCUGCAGUGUGAAUCUGGACAUUUACAACAUCAGCAACAAGAUGAACCUGCAGCUGAUCUGGACUAAGAUGGGGCCUGAAGAGAACAGCACGAAGGUUGUCUCAAGCCAGCUAGCAUCUACAGGCAUUUCCUACACACUGGGUCCUGUUACCCUCGAACAUCAGGGAGUUUACACAUGUGUUGAUGAGAGUUUGCCUGUUCUUGGUAAUCUCUGGCAUAAGAUCAUCUGGGUAGCUGAUGACUCUCCAAUUGUGUCCAUUGAUGUUUAAGUCCCAAACGGAUUCAGUUCUUCAUUGGUGAAAUGGCAACUUUGGCCUGCCAGCUGCCAAAUGAUCAAUCCCAGUGGAAAAUUAAGUGGUUUGACAGUCACAGCGGAGAAAUCGAAGAAUGUAGGUCACUGAACUUGUCUUCCAACCGCCUCCUGACCUGCAAAGUUGAUACGGGGUUGCCCUCCUCUCACAAGCUGUACUGGUGAGUCUGAAAAGGGGGAGAGGAGCAAUGCUCUCAACAUCACCAACAAUGACUCUGUGGUGAGGUCUGCGCUGGGAUGGACAAAGCCAGAGCCACGCCACCCUUCAGAAUCUGUUGGAUUCUGUCCUUGGAAACUACCCACAGGCCAAAGACGUAUAGGGGCGACUCCAGUGGUCCUGGAGGCUCCAACGCUUCCUGUAUUGGAGGGUGAGGAUGUGACAUUCCGCUGUUUAUAUAGAAACCAAACCACCAAAGAAAUCACCUCCAACUUUGACGCCAGCUUCUACAAGGACUUUAGUCCCAUCUAAGCGUGACUCUGAAAGCCGUGACCAAGGCUGAUCAAGGUUUCUACAUAUGCCACCACCCGAUAGCAGGACGGACUAAUGACCUCUAGAUUACUGUUAAAAGCUCGACCUGAAAGCAGGAAGGAGAGGCGAUGGCAGCAUGACGCCAUUAAGUCACCUGCUCCUGCUUAGUGAUGGGCACUCUUCACUGACUGUGCAACAAAUAUUAAAAUUUCACUUGCAGUGUU